CAUCAAUUGAUCAGGUCACCAAUCUUCACUACAGAGGAGCAAGGCUGAAGGGAAUGAAAAAUGAAGUCCUAGCAGCCAUUUUUUAUGCAAAAUACUCUUCAACAAGGUUUUUAAAACUAAAUUGGACAUUAAACUGGUCAGGGCUCUGAUUGCCGGGUAGAAUGAUCCAUUGUUUGAAUCGAAUAAAUGGUCCGUUCUGACAAAAAAUAAAAAAUAAAAAAACAGCGGAACCCACUACUAGAAUUCUUAUAUUUAGAGGCACUUGAUCGGAGGCGGUCAGGGAAAAAUGCCUCUAACAUAUUAAUUGAGGCAGACUUAUUGAGUUACUUUAGAGGCACUUUUUGAUGCCUUUGAAGUUAUAAUUUUGCGCAUUUUUGGCGGACGGAUAAAAUUAGUCGCCGAUUUAGUUUGCCGCCCAAACACCGUUGCGCGCACAUCUCCUUUUUUUCCUUUUCCUCUCGUCUUCUCUUCCUACUAAUAUGUCCUAAUCGAAGUCAAAUGGGUAAUAGGAUUCUUGUCAGUGACCUACAUUGAUUUACCUACAUUGGAACUGAAACGGAAGCAGUCAGGGAUACGACACCUAUUCAUCGUCUUAAUAGGUUGGCGAUACGGAUUAAAUCUUCUAUACCUAUUUGCAGAAAUUAUUGGCAUCUGGAAGCCUUGGCUUUAAACACAAAUUUUCUAGUGUCAGUUGUAGAGAAAGAAAGGAUUGGAUGAAGACUACAAAGAGCAUUUUUUUUUGAGAUGUUAAAAGGAAUUUCUUUUGGACUACUCUAUAUUUGAUUUGUAGGUUAAAAAAAGAAGACAUGUACUCAAGGAAGAAUGAAUAUAAUGAGGGCUGAAUGUUGUGUUUUUUUUUUUUUGUUCUUAAAAUGAUUAUGGAAGUCAAUUGGAA